rnacentral:misc_RNA from 1 species
AAACGAGCCAGGAAAGCGGUGCGAUCGGUCUUGCCUGCUUCCAUCUCCACCAAAUUGGUGGGGUUUUCCGUAAAUGGGGUCCUAAUGCUCGCACUUUUGUGGGUUUUGAAGGCUUUUCUUGAGGUGGUUUGCACGCUUGGAAGUGUAGUUUUUGUAAGCAUCUUACUCAUACGUGGAAUAUGGUCCGGGAUAACCUAUCUACAAGAAAGCCGGUAUCUUAAGAUGAAUGAACUUGAUGAUGACCACGCGUGGACUGGCACACAACCUGCAACUUGAUUUGUCUACUCAGAAUACGAAAUGAUACAAGGAUUCAAUCCCAAUCAAGAAUGAAGGCAUCAUUAGAAUAAAGCAUCCAAAAUAAAGGAUGUUGAGAAGAUGGGAUAAGGGGAUUUCAGUUAGCAUGUCAAAUAAUUUA